GACGAACGCUGGCGGCGUGCCUAAUACAUGCAAGUCGAGCGGACCAAAGGGAGCUUGCUCCUGGAGGUUAGCGGCGAACGGGUGAGUAACACGUGGGCAACCUGCCUGUAAGACUGGGAUAACAUCGAGAAAUCGGUGCUAAUACCGGAUAAUAAAAAGAACUGCAUGGUUCUUUUUUGAAAGAUGGUUUCGGCUAUCACUUACAGAUGGGCCCGCGGCGCAUUAGCUAGUUGGUGAGGUAACGGCUCACCAAGGCGACGAUGCGUAGCCGACCUGAGAGGGUGAUCGGCCACACUGGGACUGAGACACGGCCCAGACUCCUACGGGAGGCAGCAGUAGGGAAUCUUCCGCAAUGGACGAAAGUCUGACGGAGCAACGCCGCGUGAGUGAUGAAGGUUUUCGGAUCGUAAAACUCUGUUGUUAGGGAAGAACAAGUGCCGUUCGAAAGGGCGGCACCUUGACGGUACCUAACGAGAAGCCACGGCUAACUACGUGCCAGCAGCCGCGGUAAAG
rnacentral:rRNA from 1 species